GGUCUUUUGGUGAAAAUCAUCACAAUGAAAUUUCAAUUCAUAGUUAAUAAAUUGACUA
rnacentral:tRNA from 1 species